UUGCAUUAUGUCUUUAGUUUAAAAACAUACACUAAUCCAACGAACUAGACUUUAGUUUUUCUAAACUAGAAUUAUUUUGGGGGGAGAGGGGAUCAACCCAGCUUCACGAACAUCAAUGUAAAUUGUAAGGUAAAAAUUCAAAGAUUAGAAGUCUAUCCCAUUAAGGGAAACAGACAAUUAGAGGAAGCAACAAAAAAUUUAAAUCAAUGGCAACUUCACAUUGAAUAUCUGCUACACUUUUGCUCAAUACAAGAUUCAGAUUGUUGGGUUCUGAGAAGCAGAGGCACUAACAUGCGACAUAAAUACGACACAGCACAGACACGAUGAUAUAUUAAUUUUAAAAAAAAGUAGGACACGACGCAUUGGGAACACACUGUUCUUAUUUUUUCUUCUUUUUUUUACAAAAGUAAAUAUAUGUGUGCAUAUUUUGACAUAUUAUGAAAUAUUACCUUUAAGCAUCCAAAUAACAGUCAUACAAUUCAUGAAAAAAACAAUAGAUAAGAUGGCCAACAUCAUAACAUUGUUCAAAUCCCAAUAAGUUGGUAAUUAGUUUAAGACAACAAAACAACAAAUUAGAAUCAAACAAGCCUUUUGCAAAUUUUCCUCAUGCUACAAGAAAGAAUCAAUUAGCUGUUGAUCAUGUGUUUGAGACUUAGUGUAUUGUGCGACUGUGAGAAAUUGUGGUUAAAACCCUAGAAUUUCAAACAAUACGGACUGGACACUGAACCCUAAUGGGCUUAAAAGGGUCAAAGUAGCAUGUUGUGCAUUGUCUAUUUCCGCCUAAAUUUUAGCAGAUCACUUGUCCUUUGCGUCUCCAUUGAGUGUCUUAACACGUUGAAAAAUAAAACUAAUAAAUAAUAAUAAUAAUGGACACAGCAGCUGGCAUGUGUUGGACAUGUGCCGGUAUCCAUCAGGUGAUACUGAACAAUUUUAGGAGUGUUGUGCUUUAUAGGUGGGGUUUGAGAGUUUCAGGACACUCAAUUUUUGCUUAGAUUCAUCUCCAAUUAAGUUAAUGGUCAAAAUGCACAGAAAAGAAAUGGGGCAGGGGAGUUAGAUUUUUGUGUGGUCCUUGCUUGUCUCCAAGAUGCUGUGUCUUUGCAAGGAGAGCCGUAGAAGUGAACUAUUUUUUCUCAGCAGUCAAGUCAUUUCUAGAAGCUAGAAUGAGCCUUCCUGAUGAGUUACGUCUAAGUUGAUAUAUGACACAGAUUCGCUGGCUGCCUACAUUGAACAACUCAUUGUCACACUCCUUUCAACGACAAACUACAGGUGUUGUGGUUUUGCAUGGUUAAGUACUAAGGUUCGGUUAGAGAUAAAAGAAAGAUUUUUUUUAAGGAAAUAGCAGGAGAAAAUCUAAAAAAGGGCCAAAUGUUUGUGCUCUUUUUGCUGUACUCCCUCCUAUAACAUCACCAUCGGAUGAUUAACAGGUGUCAUACAUGGAAAAAACUACACUUAUUCAAACUAGAGACGACCUCUGAUCUGAUGCUAUAUUAACAGCAAAAAACAUCGGAUGAUUAACAGGUGUCAUACAUGGAAAAAACUACACUUAUUCAAACUAGAGACGACCUCUGAUCUGAUGCUAUAUUAACAGCAAAAAACAAAAAAGAAUGGAGCUAAUGGGUACAUAAACAUACAAAUUUUUUAGAGAACUUUCACGAGUCACCUUAGUAGUUUAAACAAUGCAACAAGCUAAGCAGCCUUUUGCCCUCGAGGAAAACAAAUGGUUGAAGUGUUGAAACAUAACAUAAUUUUACCAUUUGGA
rnacentral:lncRNA from 1 species